rnacentral:rRNA from 1 species
GGGGGCCCGCACAAGCGGCGGAGCAUGCGGAUUAAUUCNAUGCAACGCGAAGAACCUUACCAAGGCUUGACAUGGACCGGACCGGGCUGGAAACAGUCCUUCCCCUUUGGGGCCGGUUCACAGGUGGUGCAUGGUUGUCGUCAGCUCGUGUCGUGAGAUGUUGGGUUAAGUCCCGCAACGAGCGCAACCCUCGUUCUAUGUUGCCAGCGCGUAAUGGCGGGGACUCAUGGGAGACUGCCGGGGUCAACUCGGAGGAAGGUGGGGACGACGUCAAAUCAUCAUGCCCCUUAUGUCUUGGGCUUCACGCAUGCUACAAUGGCCGGUACAAAGGGUUGCGAUACUGUGAGGUGGAGCUAAUCCCAAAAAGCCGGUCUCAGUUCGGAUUGGGGUCUGCAACUCGACCCCAUGAAGUCGGAGUCGCUAGUAAUCGCAGAUCAGCAACGCUGCGGUGAAUACGUUCCCGGGCCUUGUACACACCGCCCGUCAAGUCACGAAAGUUGGUAACACCCGAAGCCGGUGGCCUAACCCCUUGUGGGAGGGAAGCUGUCGAAGGUGGGACUGGCGAUUGGGGACU